rnacentral:rRNA from 1 species
UACGAAGGGGGCUAGCGUUGUUCGGAGUUACUGGGCGUAAAGGGCCAGUAGGCGGCCAACUAAGUCGGAUGUGAAAUCCCCAGGCUUAACCUGGGAACUGCAUCCGAUACUGGAUGGCUUGAAUUCGGGAGAGGGAUGCAGAAUUCCAGGUGUAGCGGUGAAAUGCGUAGAUAUCAAGAGGAACACCUGAGGUGAAGACGGGUUGCUGGGCUGACACUGACGCUGAGGCGCGAAAGCUAGGGUAGCAAACGGG